GUGCGAUACUCCGAAAGGAAUACGAGGAAUACACAUAGUUUGGUACAUUGGGUCAACAUGUGAAGUAUAAAUGAGUGUGAAUUUGUUUGGCGGACGAUCGUGUCGCGAUCGUGACGGACGUGAUCGCCCGUUAACGUUAUAUUUUUCUUACCUGUUUUUUGUCAUGAAGGACGAAAGCAUAAAAUCAUUAAAAGCAAUUUUGCUACAUGGCCAAAUAAUGUUUAAUCGGUGUUAUUUGAACAAAAUGAUGAGUUCUAACGAAUUAGUUGCACAUGAUGAACAUGAACAAGAAUGGGGUGGACACUUCAUUACCAAAGGUUUGGGGCGACUUGUACGUAUGCUAAUGGCCUAGUUUACAUCAAGCACUUGAUACACGUACUAACUAAUAAUUUUCUAUUAAAUUAUCUUAAUUUUAGCAAUGAGUUUAAAGAAUAGUAUACCAAGCUGGUAAAAUAUGAAUCGAGAUAAUGAAAUAUGAUAUAUGUAUCAUAUAUACACGCAUCGUCAAAAGUAAGAUAAUUUACUAGAAAAUUACGAGUUAGUACGCGUAUUAAGUGCUCGGUGUACACGCACCGGUAGAAUUUGUAUCCUUGACGCUCGACUGCCGCACACACGCGAAGCCGCGCUCGUACGUGUUUCCCAAAUUAAUUGAAUUAAAAUUAUUUUCUAAUACAGAUUAUUUUAAUAAGUAAUUGUUUAAAGAGAUUUACAAGUUUCAUUAAUUAAUUAAAAUUAGGUCUCGACAUAAAGUAACAGUUUUAUGAAUUGAAGCUGUAUUGCCGUGAUGACAUAAUUUUAAUUUAUUAUUAAAAAUCGUAAUUCUAUUUACAUUAUUUUUUAAACAAAUUUUUGUAUCCGAGUAAAUUUCUUUGUGUAAUUAAAAAUUAAAACAGCCCGCGACCAACUGUGGUAUCCCGUAUACCGCCCGUAUAGGCGCAUAGCAAGGGACACAGAGCUUUUCCAGCAUGUCGAUUCGUGUCUUCUCUCUCGACCCAGCGUCGAGUGAGGAAAAUGCUAUUGAAACACCUCCCACUAUUUUCUGCCCGCAUCCCGACCUCCGACCACUGAACUCAAUACAUACAGGAAAAAGCCGUCCUAUAGAAAUCGUGUGUAAAAGGCCGGUCAGAGAGAGAGGUUACCAUUAUAUUGGCUGUCUCUUUUCUUCUUAAGCUCUUGAAACCCGCCAUUUUUAAUAUUACAAUCAUAUCUAAAAGUUAGUCAAACCUCCUAAAGUGCCUCUGAAUCGUUCUCUGAAUUCAUCAGUCAGCAUACUUUUGACGAUGCUUGUACCGCUAAAAAAAGAGGCCUACGACAGAAAGAAGCAAUUAACAUAACGUAAACCUUUCUCUCUGAUCGCUUUUUUCCAGCCACGGCUCUUUCCUGUAUGUAUUGAGUUCAGUGCCUCCGACACGCUGCAAAGAAACACAUAUGUACAUGCGCGGCUUCGUGUGUGUGCGGCAGCCGAGCGUCAGCGCGGAGAGACACUAUUUCUGCCGGUGCGUGUAAACUAGGCCAAUAAUGACAACCACGGAGUAGGAGAAUUCUCCUACUCCAUGAUGACAACGAAACUAUCAAGAGACCAACUCGGAAAAGUCACGACAACCAAUUCAGCGACUUCUUUUGAGAAGUGUUCGGGAUGACAACUUUACUGUUAAUAAUACGAUGCACUACGUGACCAAUGAUUCUGCAAAAUUUGCGUUUGCAUACAAAAAAGCUACAUGCUAUGUGCUAUUAAUAAUGAUGUUAAAGUGUUUGUAAAAUGUAAUUGACUCGUGCAUUUAUAAAGCAUUACUCACUGGAUGCGAGGAUGAUCUUUAUGACAAUAACAGUAUCAUGAAUAUGUUGCGUGCCCUACACGAAAAGGGCCUACACUGGCAUGAAUAGUGUAAAGCAUACAUAAGAAAAAUAUGUGGAAUAAAAUUUUCCUAAUUGCCUGUAGAUGCGACUGAUAUAGACGUUUGUGAUUACAUUAUUAAGAAUUGUGUCGCUGUUCAUCUUGACAAACCUGCUGAUAAAUUCAAUUUACUUGUAUUUAUGAGUUAUAAUCAAAAAAUUGUUUGUACUUAUAAAUCACAAAUGCGCCGUUGAGGGUAUAGACUCUAUGAUGAAGAAAGAAUAUUUAAUGGGCGGGCACUUGUGUCUAGAGGUUCUCAAAGAAAAACUGUGUUCAGAGCUGGUUGGGGUAAAGCAUCAUAUUUUGAAGCGUGCCAAGAGUGUUGGUAAUGGAUACACCUUAAGAGUGCGAAAGAUUAAAUGUUACUAAGUUACGGUGCAACAUUGAUGUGCAAAUGGAAUACUUGUCCACUGGAGAUUGUCUUCCCGUUUGGGACUUAUGCAAUACUCUGGUUUUGUAAUUGUUGUAGAAAAUAUCCAGGGUUAACAAGUAACGCGUUACUUGUAAUGUCGUUACCGUUACAAUUACUUCUUUUUGGUAACGAAUAAUUAACGGCGUUACAUUUCAUAAUUUAUAACAAUAAUGGUAAUGAGUUACAUUUUGUCGAUAAUUGUAACAAUUUGAAUAGUUACUUUUAUCGUUACUUUGUAUAGAUGGAGCGUAUUAAUUUGUUAGAUGAUAGCAAUCCGACAAUAUCAAACAAUUUUUAUAAUCAAAUAAUUCUAAUGUUGAGAUGCCAAAUUAUGCAAAAUUAAAUAGAUAUAAAGCUAAUAAACGAGCAAUAACGGUUGUCGUAUAUAAAAUAUUUAUUCUGUUAUGAGGUCAAUGGGACGUUUUGGAUUUACUUGUCCUUCUUCAGCCGUGUAUAAGUUAUUUACAUAAUUUCGAGUCAAGACACAUUAGAUUCCUUUGUAUUGAGUAUGUCCCCGUUUUGACCCGGAUUUUCAUCAAAAAAACUUUGAACUGGUUAUAAAACUAUUGAGAGACAACGGCUAUCCUCUAGAACUAAUAUUUAACAAAAUUAAUCUCAGACUAAAACAACUUGUCAACGACAGAAUUACAGACAAAGGAAAAAACACUCAGAAGGAAAGCGAAUCUGAAAAUGCAAAAAAAUUUUUCACUAUCCCGUAUAUAAAAAAUGUAUCCGAAAUGGUAAAUUCUGUCAUUAACAAGAAUAAAUUUAUAACAGGCUACAGAUGUUUAAAUCGACUCAAUAUAAUCGUAAAAGCACAGAAAGACAGAGAUAAUUCUAUCUCCACGAACAACGUUGUAUACAAAUUAAAAUGUAACGAUUGCGAUGCUUCUUACGUGGGCUAAACAAAAAGAAAACUAAACACGAGAAUCAAAGAACACAUGAGUAACUUAAAAUCUGAUUCAUCGAAGCAUUCUGUAAUUUCAGAUCAUAUCAUUCAACAUAGUCAUUCAAUAGAUUGGAAUAAUGCAACAAUCUUAGAUAUAGAACCCAGAUGUAGAACUACAAAAGACUUAUUUCAGAAAUGAUACACAUAAAAGAACAAACCAACGGUCUCAACUUGCAAACAGACACUUGUGAGCUUCUACAUGAGUCUUAUUUUGAAUUACUGAACAGAUUAGUUUGCUAAGUUUAAGAACACAUUGUAACGUAUUGAUCUCGAUCCACCGUCUCCUUGAACUCAGUUUAGAUUUAACGUCGAGCAAAACGGACACGCUCCUGCGUUUGUUACUUCGGCCAUAGUAUCAUUAUAUAUUCUCUAACGGCCGCAUUGUGUUGAUCUGCCCAAAUUAUUAUCAUGGAACCGGUUGACACUAAAAUUCGCACACAGAGACACGCAUUUACGAAACGUUGUCUCACCAAUGGCUUAGCGUUAUGGAACAUCUACAUCAUGCCAACAUGGUAAAAAUGACGGACAGAUUGCAACAUCCGGACAUACUCAAUACAGAGAAAUCUAAUGUGUCUCGACUCGAAAUUAUGUAAAUAACUUUUACACGGCUGAAGAAAGACAAAAAUUUGUAUGCCGUUGAUUAAUAUAAAAAAGUAACAAAAAUAGUAACGAUUCGUUAAUUUUUAAGUAACGGUAGCGAGUUACCUUUUAAAAUCAGUAACGAGUAACGGUAACGAAUUACUUUGUAGAGAGAAGAACGGUAACGGUAACGAGUUACUUUUAUAAAGUAAAUUUGCCAACCCUGAAAAUAUCAAUAGAAUGCGUCAAGAGUCAUUUUCGUGCGAUACACACAGGUGCAUUCUUUCAAGAAAUGAGAACAACUGAAGCUAGACAAUUGUUGCCUGGGGAAAGAUGGGCAUCUUGUCAAUCUAAACUUGUUGCUUUAUAAAACUUAUCCAAACAAUCAGCUUUCUGAACACGAUUCGUCAUUAAAUGCUUAUUAAUGAUUAUGUAUUAAAGCAACGGCGGCAAAUCCCAAUUUUAAAUUAACACAAACUUUAUUCAAGGAGGCUAUUACUGAAGUAUUGAGAUCGUCAAAGCAACGACUUUGAAACCGACAAGAUGCAAGUUGAAAAUAAUGCUGAGAAUAGCAGCGAUAAUAAUGAUUAAACUGAACCCAGCACCCGUAAACAUGGAAUAAGAUAAAUACAGGUUGGCAAUACUCAGUUUUAACUAGUUACAACCGUUUCCACCGGGUGCAAUUUGCUGCCACUCCACUAGAACUUGUGGAUUGCAUUGAGAAUAAACUGAGUUCAAUCCGACAUGUUUCCAUCGACUUCAAUUUGGUUCUACACCGGAUUGGAUACGGAUUAAUGUUUCGGUGGAAACUAGACCAUUGUAAGAUAACGUUUUCGGAACUCACAGAUUCAUUGGUUCUGGUGCAUUACAAGGUUUUGAUCAAGCGGAUCGUGCAAAGUACUUACAAUUUGUUACUAGUACGUCCAAAGUGCCGUUACAAGAUUUCGCCGCGUUAGAAUGGCAUACAAAAAUUCCAAAUUCAAAGAAGGAAGGUCAGCAGACAAGCUUCCAUCUGCACAAGCUUGUUUCAAUUCACUGGACCUGCCAGUGCACGAAAUAUAUGAUAAAUUCCGUACAAAUCUAUUUAAGGCGAUUCAUGAAUGCAGCGAAGGGUUUGGGGUAAAAGUGCACAUUAGGGGAGCAGCCUCUGACGACCUUGACUUUGACAUAUGUUAUCAAUGGAAAGGUACUGAGUGACAUACAAAAGGUUUUAAAUAAUGCUCACUUCUUAUUAAAAAAACAUUAUUAGAGAAAGAGAAAAACAGUUUUUCUUACUUAUUUCAGAAAAUAUUCAUUUUACGAAAAAAUGUGUCAAACAAAAAAUAAAGCCCGUAAUAAGCCCUAUAAAAAAGGUCGUAUACAUAUUUUACCUGAUUUCAAUACUUUAGUCGUUAUAGUAGAAAAACUGUUUUAAAAUAAUUUUUUCUUACUUUUAGUAGUUUUGCGUGAAAAGUAGAUGCUUCGGCGGGGGAGAGGCUCCGUCCCCCCUCCCGCCCCAUAUUUUUUUUAACCCAACCUAACCCUAUUUUAGUUGUAAUUUGACCAAGGAUAUCUAAUUGAUGUUGCGACAUUAGAUUUGAAAUUAUAGCCCACCCCCUUCCGCACCCUCCCCGUCAUUAGUAGACUGAGACGGUGUGUGUUGAAGCAUCUACUUUUCAUGCAAAACUAUAUUUCCACUAUAACGACUAAAGUAUUGAAGUUAGAUAAAAAAUGUAUAUGAGAUUUUUUAUAAAGUUUAUUGCGAGCUUCAUUUUUUGUUUUAUACAUUUUUUUUGUAAAAUAAAUAUUUUCUGAAAUAAUUAAAAAAAACUUUUUUCUUUCUGUAAUAUAUUUUAAUAAGAAAUGAGCAUUACUUAAAGCCUUUUGUAAGUCACUCAGUACCUUCUCCUUGAUAACAUAUGUCAAGGUCAAGGUCGUCAGAGGCUGUUCCCCUAAUGUGCCCCUUUUACCAGAUUUGGAUUUGCGUAAGCUUGUUGGAGCGCUAUUGUCGAUUGUGUAGCAGAUUAUCAUACAUGUGUUGUCCUGCCUGUUCAGAGUAAACGUUACAAGAAUUUGCUCGUGUAUAAUUACGCAUUCAUACGUGUGAUUAUAAUUGAAUAUAAUUGCCAGAUGACAGGCAUAAAAUGUAAAAAUAUCUAGAGUCGGAACACGCCGAAACUACCAUAUUGAUAUGCCUUGACACAAGUUCAUAUGUUAAUUACGGUAUAUAUAGUAUGUGUGCGAUUUUUGAAACCACCAUAGCGGUAUACCCACAAAAGUGUCAUUUCCACCAUUUCAGAAUUCCUCACCCGGGUGCAUCCAAAUAUCAAUAUUUUGGGCAUCAUGAUAUCACCAUAAAAGCAUUUUAUUAUCCGAGUCGUUUUAUUUUUGUCUACCGAAUGUUAAAGAGAGACAGAAUGAUGUUUGCGAAACAAGCUACGAAACAGGCUACAAAAAAGGGUACAUCAGGAAAACCCGAACGAAGGACCGCUCAACGGGAUCGGAGGUUAUAAAAGGAGACACGAGCGCCUUUCGCUGCAAAAGUACAUUUGUCGGUAUUCGAUGCAAACGCAUCGAACAUUCCUCGGCGAACUUGCUUCGAACAAUUAACGAGCAAUUUUGUGAUCAUUUCACGUGGAUCAUUUAACGGCCUUAACAAAGCUCCAAAGGCGACAAGAUCGAGGUGAUUUGAUUACACUGUAAAUACUCAAUAUUUUAUAAAUUUGGAGAAAAAUAGGUGUCCCAGGAUGAUUAUUACAUCCUGCAGUAUAUCCCACUGUACCAAAGAAUCUUUAUAAUGCGAGAAAAAACACAUUCAUGUUUUAUAUAAACCAUAAUGUAAGUCACUUAGCAUUCACGAUGCUAAAAAUAGAUUUAUUUUGUUUUUAAUCCAAGACUUAAAGUAAUAUCUAGCAUUGUAAACAUGAGUUUGUAUUAAAAAAAAAAAAAAAGCAAGAUGAGAGGUAUUUUUAUACUUCAUACUUCUUAUACAUAAAAAUUUGAAUUGAUAAUACUAAAUAUAUAAAGGAUGUAAUGCAAAUUAUGUAUCUCUUAUAUAAACAAACAUAGAGAACUUAGAAAUUUUUGUAUAUUUAUUGGUUUCAGAAAUAGAUUCUGCAUUUAAAUAAAAUAUAAAAAAAUUUAACUCGAUAAAUAUACAAAAAUUUUAAAUUUCAACUUUUGGCUAUAUUAUCUAAAUGUUAUUUCAUGAUUUUACAACACGAAGUAAAUGUUGUAAAAAUAUGAAGUAAAAUAUUAAGAUAUGAAUAUUGAAAAAAAGUUAUAAAGUUAAAAAAUUUUAAAGAAACACCUCCAAUAAAUUUUGAUUUAAUCGUCCUAUUAAGACACUAUUGAAAUUAGCAUUCAGUAUCAAAUACUUCACUAUUAUAAUUUUUUGUUCGUUUUGUAAAAUAAUUAUUUUCAGACAUACGACGUUUUGCAAAUAUAUCAUUGUUAUGCUACAAGACUGCUAUAAUGACUAUUUAAGUAUUGUAUGCUGUUAUCCUUACAAACAAUUAAUAGGUCAACUUUUUAUUAAUAAAAUAAGUAGUAUAUUUCUCAGGA